rnacentral:rRNA from 1 species
GAUGAACGCUGGCGGCGUGCCUAAUACAUGCAAGUCGAGCGAACGGACGAGAAGCUUGCUUCUCUGCUGUUAGCGGCGGACGGGUGAGUAACACGUGGAUAACCUACCUAUAAGACUGGGAUAACUUCGGGAAACCGGAGCUUAUACCGGAUAAUAUUUUGAACGGCAUGGUUCAAAAGUGAAAGACGGUCUUGCUGUCACUUAUAGAUGGAUCCGCGCUGCAUUAGCUAGUUGGUAAGGUAACGGCUUACCAAGGCAACGAUGCAUAGCCGACCUGAGAGGGUGAUCAGCCACACUGGAACUGAGACACGGUCCAGACUCCUACGGGAGGCAGCAGUAGGGAAUCUUCCGCAAUGGGCGAAAGCCUGACGGAGCAACGCCGCGUGAGUGAUGAAGGUCUUCGGAUCGUAAAGCUCUGUUAUUAGGGAAGAACAUAUGUGUAAGUAACUGUGCACAUCUUGACGGUACCUAAUCAGAAAGCCACGGCUAACUACGUG